rnacentral:rRNA from 1 species
UACGGAGGGUGCAAGCGUUGUCCGGAAUCACUGGGCGUAAAGGGCGUGUAGGCGGUUUGUUAAGUCAUGUGUGAAAUCCCUCGGCUCAACCGGGGAAGGACGCAUGAAACUGACAAGCUAGAGUACCAAAGAGGGGGGUGGAAUUCCCGGUGUAGCGGUGAAAUGCGUAGAUAUCGGGAGGAAUACCAGCGGCGAAGGCGGCCUUCUGGACGGUGACUGACGCUGAGACGCGAAAGCGUGGGGAGCAAACAGG